GAAGAACGCCGUUGAGAGACUACACCGCCCAUGAAACCCUGCAGUAUAACCUUGAAGUACCAUCACGGAGAGAAACAGUGCCAUCUCAGGGCCAGUGGCGCAAUGGAUAACGCGUCUGACUACGGAUCAGAAGAUUCCAGGAGCCAAUGACCAAUAGGCCAGAGCACUGGAGACUUUCUGGAAGAAAGAGGUACUGAAGCAUCCAAUAUGGAAAUAGUCAAGAUAUAGAAAAUGCAAGCUCUUGAAGGAUUCAAGAUAUAGAAAGGAUCUGAGAUAUGGAAAGAACUCAGGAUAUAGAAGGAUCUGAAAUUUUGGAGACUAAGAUAUGAGAAUAUUUAAGACACAGGUGAGCAGAAAUCCCCGGAUGCCAUUUGAUUUUCUUGGGAUUCUAAUCUGUGGAACCAAGAAGUGAAAGAAAACAAAAAGAUGAAUAAACAGCUGGCUGCUCCAAGGACACUACCUUAUGUUCAAAUUUCUGCUGUCCACAAGCUGGAAAGGAACCUCAAGGAUGACUUUUACAGAGGGCCUAUACCACACAUCCUGGGUCCCAAGCUCUUACACAAGCUUUAUGGACAAACAGAUUUACAAGUGCCAAAACAUGUCACAUUCUAAGCACACAUGUGUUUCCACUUGCUCCAAGCUGUCCAAAAGGAGCAUCCUAAAAAGAGAACUUUCCAAUUCACUGAGUCUAAACAAGAGGAUUCUCCACCACCACCACCAUUAUGCCAAAGUUAAAACUGAGCUGCAGCUUCCCAGUUAUGAGUGAACUGGGGGAAAAGGGAAAAAAAUCAAAGUCUACUUUUUCCCCCCAAAUAACUCAGCUAUCAAAUUCCAUAAUAGUUUUUUUGUGCUUCUUUUUUUGUCUAAGAUCUGUUGGUAGUUUUUUUUUUUUUUAUCAUUAACUCUAGAAUCAUCCUUCAGGAAUGACAAAUCAUUCCACACUUGAACAACUGGUUUUCACAUAACAGCCUAAGAAAAGAGCACCUGGAGGAAACAGCGUGACAAGAAGACUGACAGUGAGGUCAGUGGCAAAAGAGUAAUGCAAAGGUGUAAUGUGGCUACAACGAGAACGUGAGCUGUGGGUGUUUUGCCAGAACAUGGAGUGCGCUGAAAGGAAUGACACCAACACAGGGGCAGUAAAGAUGGGCACAGUUUGACCUCAGGAGACAAAAAUUUUCCCUUGACAUUACUUUUCAUGUUUUUGCUCUGCCCCUCCUCUCUGCAAGGUAUCAAACUCCAAAGGGCAACUGAGCCUCCCAAAGCUGAACAGGCAUUGAAGGUUAUUAUGAUUUAACGCUUCAUGUUUAUAGAACAUUUGGUUUACUCGAUCGUUUUAUGAGUAACAUCAAAGUAACUACUCAUUUGUUUUCUAACAUGGUCUAGAGGGGGACGCAGCUGAGGAGGCAGAAUGCUGGGACUUAAUUUGCAGCUCGGCCGGCCGUUGCUUCUGAGAACUUAAGGAAAAUGCUUUUUUCUGUGCCAAACUUUUCCCACCUGCAAAACUGAGAUAACGAUUCCUGCCUUGGAUGAGACAUUAAGAAUUAAUAACACAAUCGACUUGUCAACAAAAGCCACUACUUAGUUAAGUUCAGUGUUUUAACAAUUCUGUUUAUCGUUGAUCUAUGACUGCAAAUAAAAAGUUUUGCAGGCAAA
ensembl:lncRNA PRMT5-DT PRMT5 divergent transcript